AAUCCCCGGUUUCUGCAAAGUGGAGGGGGGGUGGGGCGGGGUAGCGGAACUCAUGGGCUGGGCGUCAGAAACCCGGCAGGGGAAUGGGGUCCCAGAUUCCGGGCACGUGCACAUGGGUGAAGAAGCUGUUGAAAAUACAGCUACAGUCUUUUUCUGCUCUCCUCCCAACUCAUCUUGCCCCCUCCCUACCUCUGAACAGUCGCCUUCCAACACAAGCAACAAUAAAGUUUAGUCUACUGUCCUCAGAGCUACCGGAAGAGAAGAAUCAAUGGAUGAUAAAAUAACUAGAAAAUGAUGGAUAGGAGUGAUGGAAGUUCGCUGUAAACUCCUAUAACCCCUCAUCCAUCACAAUCACCACAUGCCUAACACAACCAGCAGAAACACUCACUCGCAACAGACCUGCAGUCUGGGCUCUUUCCUUCUUGAUGGAGGCCUCAAAACCUCAGCAGUUGUACCACAUUAAACUAAAAUGCUUUUUCCCUGUUAGU